rnacentral:ncRNA from 1 species
CGUCUUCAGGGCAGGGUGAAAUUCCCGAUCGGCGGUAAAGUCCGCGAGCCGCAAGGCUGAUCCGGUGCAACUCCGGGACCGACAGUUACAGUCUGGAUGAAAGAAGAUG